UACGGGGGGGGCAAGCGUUGUCCGGAAUUAUUGGGCGUAAAGAGCUCGUAGGCGGUCUGUUACGUCUGCUGUGAAAACCCAGGGCUUAACCCUGGGCUUGCAGUGGAUACGGGCAGACUAGAGGCAGGUAGGGGAGAAUGGAAUUCCCGGUGUAGCGGUGAAAUGCGCAGAUAUCGGGAGGAACACCGGUGGCGAAGGCGGUUCUCUGGGCCUGACCUGACGCUGAGGAGCGAAAGCGUGGGGAGCGAACAGG
rnacentral:rRNA from 1 species